GGGCCUUUAGCUCAGUUGGUUAGAGCAACUGACUCAUAAUCAGUAGGUCACAGGUUCAAGCCCUGUAGGGCCCA
rnacentral:tRNA from 1 species